CCCUUUCCGCCCAAUCCUUGGGGCGUAGGCCUGGUUCGAGGUCCAACUAACCAAUCAGGAUCGUCUAUCCCUCCAAUCUCACCAACCAGGGGAGUCUCUUCUUCAUCUCAAAAUCUUGGCUUGUCUCAUUACUUACUCUGACCAACUGAUUGUGGCAGAAGUGAUGCUGCGCAAGUUGUGAAGUUUCAUCUUCACAGGUAGUGUCCAUGCCCAAUGUGAGGUGUGAACUCACAACCCUGAGAUCAAGAGUUGCAUGCUCUACCACCGACUGAGCCAGCCAGACGUCCCACUAUAUAAAACAUUUUUUUAAUUAACAUUUUACUAUUGCUGUUUUUAUGUAUUAGAAAAUCUCCUCUCAGGCUCUCCAGGAGCAUGCUCUGAAAUUUAUCUCAGCUAACAGUGGGAUCAGUGUGUGAGAAUC